UGUUGCAACCUCGAUGAUAAACACAUGGAAAAAGCUGUUACUGCUUUGCGGAUUGCUGGAAUCUGGGUAGACGUUAGAAAAAUAAACAAAGCGGUUACACCACACCAGUUCUGUAAAUUCACCGGUACAGUCAAGGAAAGGCAGCAAAACCCUGGGUUUAGAAGACUGUGAGCCAGUUUCCUGCAUACAACUAUAAUUAAUUUACGUGCAGAGAUCAAAGAUCCGAGGGCGAAGGAAAUGAUUGAUUCCGCCAGAAAACGCUUCCCUGGCACAGCCCACGGACAGCCGCCACCCACGGCAGGUCCAGUGCUGUGCUGUUCACCCACCACACUGCACGGUGGCCCUCCCACAGUGCCCAUUCUCUGGUCCCUUCCACCAGGUUCCCUGAACACACUGGACGCCAAGCACCUUUUCAAGUCAGUGGUGCACAGUGCUCUGGUCCCUCCAUCUUCAACAGAUGAAGCAAACAGAUUACAAAGGAUAAUAUGGUUCCAGACUGAAACUCCACUUGCUGUAUUUAUGUUGUGCAACUCAAUGCAGGCCCUCUCAUUUCAGCUGUUUGAAAUGAUGUGUCACUAGGAGGAGGUCACAGGUGACUGGAAAGUUCAACCUACUUAGCUCAAUUAUCCAAGUUUCAUUUCCAAAUUGUGUUCAAUUUCAUCUUCCUGCUUCCCUCCAAAUUAUCUUAGAGGAAAAAAAAAAUCAAACGAAAGCAGACAAUUUAAGCCAAAUCCUGUAUACCAUUAUUUAUAUGCAAAAUCAUUUUUGUGAUAUAUACUCCCCUUAAUGACUAUGGGAUGCCAGAUCUUUCCAAGCAAAUUUACAAACCUAGCCAUCAAAUUAUUUCAAAGGCAGGCCUAUUAGGGACAAAAAUAAUUAUGAACUUUCAGAAGCUUUGUAAAAAAAUAAGUUUCUGAAUGUUGUCUCUUUAAAUUUUUCUUAAGUUUGUUUUUAAUUUAAGCCUGGAGGCAUAGUAGAGAGAUAUGCAGAGUCUAAUAAGGAGUUUGGAAAAUAAUGUGCUGUAAUCCAGUGCUGAGCUAUUUCUCCAUAAAAUAUGGAUAAGAAAUCAAUUCAUAAGCACAAAUAUCUACUAGGACUGAGUUUUAACAAACAUUUCACAUGAUCAUUCUUAUAUGCAUUAUUAAGGAGAUAACAAAAGUGCUUCAAAUCAAGCCCUAUACAGUCACAUCUGGAAAUGCUCUUUCCUGUCUAAUUUUCAUUUUUUCCCCUCAAAAAAAUUUUAGAAGAAAAACUAGUCUGUCCCCUCAUAUAUUAAUUGUUACCAUCAGCUUUUAAUCAGCAACAUGUAUAGUUAGAUUUACAGAAUUCAUUCCAUGUUGCCCCUUUAGAGAACAGUAAAAUGAAGAUAGUGUCUUUAUUCAUUUAUAGAAUCUGAUGUUAAAACCAAAACCACACACAUAUAGCAUUUACAUUGCUUUAUGCAUAUAGACAGGCGUGUAGAUACAUAGACACAACAUACUUUCACAUGGAAACAAGUUAUGACCAUGUGCUGGAAAAAAUACUAAAAAGUGUCUGUGCAUUUCACCAGACCCUGAACCAGACGUCAUCAGAUAAGAAGUGAUUUAGAGAAAAUUUUUUAAAAACAGACACAGCUAAUUUCUGAGGGCAUUGAAACUACAGUAAGCUUUGCUGUACUAUGCUUAAGCACUGUCUGUUUUCAAAGCUCUUCAGGUUUUUUAGUCAAAUAAAGCAUUGCCAUGCAGGAAAGAAGGGUUAAUAAACUCCCUCCAAGCUGCAAGGAGUUGAUACAAGUUUGGGUUUAUUUUUUUACCAAUGUAUAAUUUAAAGGAAUUAAAUUCUGAGGACAAAGAUAAAAGAAGUAUCUGAGAUUUAUUACUACUAUUUUUUUUUAAAUAAAUAUUAUAUUUUUCCUUUGAAUGAAAAGGCAAAGAAAAUAUUUUCCAAACAGAAGUAGCAAAAACUACUUAGAAGAAAACCCAUAAACAAUUUUUUUAAAUACUCUGGAGUUUUCUGAACAGCUCUGAUGUACUCACAUUCUUAUCACAACUAUUUUUUAAACUAUUUUAAGUAGGUAUUCAAGGUAAAUUGAUGCUUUAUGUAUAUCCUGCCUCAAUUUGUAACACACUAUUCUCAGUAAAGACAUAGUUUGAAAAAAAAAUACAAAAAAAAAGUGAUACCACUGACAACAAUUUACUUAAAUUCACAAACCUUGAAAUUGAUGCAUCUCCUAUCAAUCAUAGUCAAAAGCUUCAGUAAAACACAUCCAACAUUUGUAUAUCAAAACUGGGACUAAGAAACCCUGUUUUGUUCAAUUUAAAUGUCCUUCAACAUGUUGUCAUUUUAUACACUGAAAUUACUGGGGGAUUUUUACUAUGGGUUGGCUUUCUUUUGUCAAACAUAUGCAAGACAGUAACCUUGCGCAAUUAAAGUGCAUGCCAUUAUACCGCACAGAUGUUUGUUCUCACUCAGUUACUGACAAUGAAAUACUUAUUAAAUAAUAAUAAGGUGAUAUUGACUUCUCUAUUCUGUCGAUAUGAAGAUCUGUUGAUCUGUGAGGUUAAUACUGAUGAGACAGAGUGAGGUAAACAUUUCAUCAGGAGGGCAAAUAAAUCCCAAUACUUGCAUAAGAAAUAAAACCCCCAACUUUGUACAUAAACAGAAGCUAAUCUUUUUUGUAUUUAUUUGGUACAUGAGCCCCAGUUCAACCUAUCAGCAUGCACAAGCUAAUGCUGAAGUAAGUCCUUAAUAUUACUUUCAGGAAACAUAUUCCAAAAAUGUCUAUCAUAAGUAUUUAAAACUAAGCUCAAAUGAUGCCAAGCUCUUUGAGUCUUUAGUCAUGCUGCAUGUUCUGCAGCGAAUGGCACAUUUUCUUUAAGUAUUACUAUAAGGUUUUACAAACAACCUCAAUAUUCUUCACAUUAAGGGAUUUCUGUUUGAGCCAGGGAAAUCAGAGAAAUACCUUUUUUUUUUUUUUUUAAUAAGAUGAGCUCUCUGUCAAAAUAUUAUUGUUUCUUCAUCAAAACGUUACUGAAAGUUCUCUGUCUUUACCCUCUGCCACAAAACACAAUAUUGUACACAUUUCGAACAAUACAAAGAGCCAUUUAACUUGAUGGGUCUGGCAGAAGAAGCUACUUUCUUAUUCAUUAUUAUCUUUAGAUUUUCCUUCAUUCUGUUUAAGGGAAGCUUAGAGCUGCUUUUUUAGAAGAAUAUUCCAUCAGUCAGGUAGGUCUCAUACUGUCUCUGACAGCAUUAUUUCAGUAUGUUGUUUUUAAUGUACGGUACUUAAACAUAUAUAAGGAAUCCAUGUCUUGCUUCUGGGCUUUUGAAUAGAAAUUAAAGAGAUGUGACCUAAUAUGUAAGACAGUAAGAGGCUGUAUAAUUUUUUAUAUUAGUGCCAAAAGAUGCACUUGUCAGUUUUCCCAAUUUGGUUAUUAAUUAAGACCUCAAUCCUGCAAUUAGACUUGCAGGAGCAAAACACAGGCGUGAAGCAACUCUGCCUGUCUCUUUGCCAGAGAAGACAACUCUGCCUUGUCGACAGUGUGACUGUUGACAAGGGAAGAGCUCAGUCACACAAUGCUUACUGUAAGGUAUCAUCGUAAAAUUCAAAACAUUACUUCAGCUGCCCUUGCCAGAGACCACAGCCUGAUUUCUGGGGCAGAAGAGCCAUUUUCACAGCCUCCUUCCUCUCACCUGUCUGUAGCAGAACUGCUGUGCCUCAGCAAAGAAAGUUGGGCAAACACUUGGCACUUUCUCUGCAUUAUGGUGACAUCUUGUUGGUAGGACAGUGCAGGAAAAAUCACAUUAUUGCUAUUUGUGCUGCUCCUGUUCUGAAGGUGUGAGGUUGGCCAUCUGCUGCUCCUUCCAGGGAUCACAUAAGGGUCUAAUACAUUUUAUUUUGUUGUUGGUAAAAUGUGAUGACUUUUGUCUGAGAGAGGUAACAAAACAUUUCUUUUUUGACCUCGUGCUUGCUUGUUCUUCUUCCCAGAGUGUUCUCAGAAGAACAUUGUUUCUGGGAUUUUUUGCACCUCAGGCCAUGAUGCUGUUUGAAGACUCCUGUCUCUGCAAAUUCCUGCGUUCACCCAAAUCUCUGUUAAAGGCAGUGGGGUUUUGUGUGCUUGUGUUCUACCAUGCUGUCUGCUUUUGGUUAUUUUUUAGAUAUUUUUAUCCUUCUGUAUCUUGAGAAUCUUUUUCGUACAAUUAUCUGAAGUAUGUCCCAAUUUCUGUGUAAUGGUAAUCAGAUGGCAGAGCAUCUGGGAGCAGUGCUUUGGUUCAUGGGUACCUUAUUUCCUACCAUGUGGUUGGAUGGUCUUAAAAAAAUUCCUUCUAACCCGCAUGUCAAGUAAUUCUGGUAACAAAGUUACCAGAAUAAGAAACUUUUCAAGCUUUAACUCACGCUGAGAUUCUCUGAAAGUUUGCUAACAUUUAAAAUAAAAAAAAUUAGGCAAUUUAGAAGCACAGAUUUUGGUAAUCUCAAGACUCUGAGGCAUAGUUCCACAUGUACAGAUAUAAAAACUAGAUGGUCUCAUGCCCUAGAAUAUCUUUAUAUGUAUUUGUCUGAACUGACUUAGUUUAGCUGAUCUUGGGUAUACAAAGGGAUCCAGGAAAUGAGUUGAAUACUUUUAGUAAGAACUGUAUUCAAGAAAUAUUAUUGUAUGAUGCUAUUUUAGUGCAUGCCUUUGCAAGUGCAAGGUGUAUUCCCUGUAAAAUUCUUAAUAUUCCAAGCUCAUUUUCCACUGCUGUUUCAAGGCUGGAGUUUCUGUAGCCGUGUUUCUUAUGUGGUAAUAAGGAUACUGAAGGAACAACUGUUCUGCUAGUGAAUUAAGCUGAAUAAGAGAAAAAAUAUGUAAUGACUUGGGCUCUUAUCUCUAGUCAUAUGCUUUGCAACACAGAUUGCAAGAGAAGGAAUAGACAGCAAACUCUGUAAAAUGAGGACAGUAAUUCCCAUGCUGUAAAAAUCCUCCUGCCUUAAGAACACUAGCAAUGAAAAGGUUACAAGAAAGAGGGUAAUAAAAAUAUCAGAAGAAACCAAAUAGAGAUAGGUUUCUUUGCAAGUAGAUAAGCCACUUUCUAAUAUGGUGGCCUUAUAUAUAAGUACAUUUGUCUUCCAGACCCUCUGCUGUUGAUUAGAAUUCUGAUGCCACUGGAGGGGUUACAGUUUUGUUGAGUUUCUGGAUCUCAAUUGCACUGUCAAGGGGUCAUUCUUUCUGGUAAUAAGGUAGCUAGUAACCCCUGGGAGAAAAGGAAAACAAUUGACUCUUGAAAGCAGAAACAUAUACUGAAGUCUAGAGUAGAUUUCUGGCAGUGGACCAGGUCUUUUCUCAUAGCAUUUGUCAUUGUAGCAAUGAAAAAAUUGUGGGAGUUUUACAGGCGGCCAAAAAAGAAAAACAGAGCACAACAACA